rnacentral:tRNA from 1 species
GAGGGUAUAGUUCAGUGGUAGAGUGCAUGCUUAGAAUGCACGAGGUCCUGGGUUCAAAUCCCAGUACAUCUA